UUCCCUUUACUGUGCUUGUUUGGCACAUCUUCUGCAGAGGUACUUAGGUUGAUCCAGUCACAGCUGCCUUCAGACAGAGAAAUAAGCAGCAGAAGAAGUGGAACUUCUGAGAAAUACACCUCCUGCUUUUGUUCAGCUGUUCCUGCCUCUUUCUCAGGAAAACUGAAGAUCAGAGGCUGAGGGGGAAUCCUGAACCAGGAGAAGCUGGGAGCCCAGAAUUGGACCUUGUGGUCCAGAGGAGUCACCAGUGCUGAGUAAAAGGGGAGAAUCACCUCUCUGCACCUGGGAUUGGCACAGGCAGGUGCUUUCCCUCUGUCCCAGCAAAGGGAAGAUGGAAGAUAUCCCCUGAGAUUUCUUGGAGGAGGGGUUUGCUGUGGAUUGCUGUGCACCUGCAGAGCUGAGCAGAUGUGUGACAGGCAUGCUUGGUAUCUCUUCUGGAGCUGGGAGAUUUCCAGAGAGAGGUCAAAACUGUUCACUCAUGAGAGCAUUUUAUGCGACUAUCCAUCCAUCUUCUGGCUGCUGUGUGCAGCUGGAGUUAAGAACUCACAGGCACUGAUUUUACACACAGUCCUCUUGGAGUUUAAGCAGCAGGGGGACUUCACAAAUGGGCAUUAAUUACCAUGGGGAAUGUGGUUGGCACCCUAAAAUUGUGCCAGUGAGGAGUCCUGUUAACAAAUGAGGAUGGAGGGAUAGGCUAUGAUGUUACAGUGUGCUGAUUCUGACCUGUUAGCUGGGGUCUUUGGCCAAAACCAACUGAGCAACAUGGAACUGAGCAGCAAAGAAUACUUAAAAUCUUUUAAAGGAUGAGAAAAAAAAGUUUGGAUUGAUAAUGGCUGGAAAGAGAGAUCAAAACCAGAGAAACGGGAUAAAUGGGUUGUGAAAGAAGGAUAUGCACGGAAGAGUGAGAGUGAGUUAAAUUAGUAAGAAAGGCUGGAUGGACAGUGCAGAUCCGUUUGGAUUCCCAUGUAGGAAGUAUCUAAGGAACUGAGCUAAAUGAAAGAAGAGCAUUUAUGGUAGACUGUAAGAAAAAACUGUAUAGAGGCUGUUUUGAAGGAAUUCAGGUGGUCAAACAUGUGAUGGUAGGUUUGGAUGGGCUGUGGUGCUGAAGAAAACUCUCUGAGCAGGAUGACUUCUCCAGGUUCUGAAAGAGGAGGCACUGGUCAUGCAUGGGUAGAGUCAGCAGAGAGAGGAUGCUGAAGAUCUGCAGUUCCUUAACAUCAUAUGAAGGAGUAAAAGAGGAGUGGAGAUGUGCUGUGGGCAAAGGGAGAAGUGGUACGAAGGCUUGAAAGUUAAUCUUUGGAAAAUCAAGAUAAUUCCUGUACAAUGUCUAAUGAGAACUGCAUCUAAACACUACAUGUGCAAGCACAAGACUGCUGGGAUGUCUAAGCAGUUGUGGUCACUUUUUCCAUGUGAAAAGAAGCUGAACUGAAUGCAGAAUACAGGAGGAAGAGAAAUCUCAGACUACAAGGCAUGUGUGUGAAGACAGACCUGUGAACACCAUCUUUCUGGUGCAUGUCAGUAAAAGCCUUGGCAUGAUUCAGGAAAACAGGAUUUAUUCCCAGGUGCAGAAGAAGCAACUACUUUGAGAUAGAAUCAAAUACAAUUUUUAUUUUCCAAGGAAAAUAAAAAAUAUUUUG